rnacentral:rRNA from 1 species
CCGGCACGGGUGAGUAACACGUAUGAAACCUGCCCGUAGCAGGGGGAUAAGCGGGAGAAAUCCCGUCUAAUACCGCGUAAUGCCGCGGGGCUGCAUGGCCCUGCGGCCAAAGGGAGCGAUUCCGGCAACGGAUGGGCAUGCGUGACAUUAGCUAGUUGGCGGGGCAACGGCCCACCAAGGCGACGAUGUCUAGGGGUUCUGAGAGGAAGGUCCCCCACACUGGUACUGAGACACGGACCAGACUCCUACGGAAGGCAGCAG